CUUGGGGUAUAGCAGCAACUUCAUGAAAAAAAUCGUUUUGUUUGUUGGCAAUUGGAUGUUCAGGCAUGCGCCCAUCCUGCGCAACACUGCGAGACCAGCACCAAGUCAUUGUGUUUUUAAAUCAAAUGACCCACAUGCAGGGAAAUGUAGACUUGAAUGGGGGUUUGUCAUAGGUGAUGUUGCAUAGCUUCUUCUUGUGACUGGUUCCAAGUCAAUCCUUACAUCAUUCAGAAGCUCGAAAACAUUGCUGAAGACAUGCCUUGUCAUGCAAAUUUUUGGUUCUGGCAUUUCAAUAAUGUUCACAUGAACGGAAAAAAAAAAAAUCGGUUCACUCCAGCCUCUCAUUUUCCCUGCGCCUCUUCGUCAUGGUUACGCGCAGUAGAGCAAUUUACACAUUUACAUUGCACUGCACCAGAUGUAAUUGUGAGUGUACAAUUAAUACCUAUGCAGAGUGGUGAACUUCUUUUUACACUUGCCAGUUCAUGUAGGAAAACGACAUUCUUACAAUUAUUUUUAUUUGAUUUUUUUACACUUGCAUAGUGGUCGGAAUGCUAAAAAUCACCUGUAUGGUUAAAAAGGCUUCACGAUGGCAACAGUUGACUCUGGGAAGGAUGAUUACAAUUAUAUUAUGUCCUGUGGGAAUAGAUGUUAAAAAAAAAAAAAAAAAGAUGAAAAAUGGAUCAUAGUGAUUCCACUGUUAAACACAGCCAAAUUGAAAUGAGAUAUAUUAAUGCAUAUGCCUUUCAUGUUCGUGCCCCAGAUGAUUACAAAAGAAAAUUGAAGUGGUGGCUCAACCGUCUUCAAAAAACAGUGGCUCCAAGCCAGUGGGAGUGUGUUGGCUUGCUGCACCCUGAUUAACAGUGUGCUUUACAGCCAAUAGGUAAUCUCAUCAGAGGGAGGCUUGAAACAGAUAAAGACCACCCCUUACUCGCAAUUCCCCCACUCUACCUUACCACCGUUCCCCGAUGAGUCCUCCCAUCCAACACACCGAGGAUACUGGAAGGAGGCUCAAGACGGAUGGGGCCCGAGUCAUAUACUGACCUCCUUUUUCAAUAAAAGGAGACUUUUCUGGUCUGAUGGCUGAUUUGUUGGUCGUGCAUGGAAAGGCCAUCUGGAUGGGAGGAUUCAAUCGUUGCCGUAGGUGAGCAUCACCUGCCAGUUCAACUCCUCCUUGUGAAAAUGCGCUCGAUCUUUGGGUGAGAGGCGGCGAUCGUCACGCUGACUGGAUUACCCCCAAAUACAAGCAAAA